rnacentral:rRNA from 1 species
GGACUACCGGGGUAUCUAAUCCUGUUUGCUCCCCACGCUGUCGCGCCUCAGUGUCAGCAACGGCCCAGCCGACUGCCUUCGCCAUCGGUGUUCUUCCCGAUCUCUACGCAUUCCACCGCUACACCGGGAAUUCCAUCGGCCUCUACCGUGCUCAAGCCUUACAGUCUCGGAGGCAGCGCUGCGGUUGAGCCGCAGCAUUUCACCCCCGACUUAUAGAGCCACCUACGCGCCCUUUACGCCCAGUGAUUCCGGACAACGCUCGCACCCUCUGUAUUACCGCGGCGGCUGGCAC